ACAAGCCAGAGAUUGGCUUGGAAUGCUGGCUUGUGCAGGCCUCCUGUCCCCGGAUGUCUCAAAGGAAAGACCUUUAGCCAGGAUGAAGGAAGAGAAGCCAUGAUGACGCAGAAGCCAGCAUGGGAAAGAGGGAUGAGGAACGGCUUCUGCAGAGAGAGUUUCGGAAAGUUUGGAGACUUGAACAUCAGGGUCCCCCCAAAUGCAGGGAGAAUAUUUUCCACCUGAAAACAGGAAUGGCGGCAUCUUGGCUGCAAGCAGAUUGCGGAUCCCGGGUCUCUUAAAUCUUUCUGCCCUCAAUCUUACGCCAACGCUGAUCAAGAAGGCAGCUUGUGUGGAAGGGACCAACUUGGAAAAGACCACAUCAAGGCUGGAAGCCUUUUUGGACUCGGGAAGAGGGGGGGGGAAAGAGAUUUUCUCGGACCCCUGUCAGAAAAUUCUCAUAUUUAUUUUUUUUUGGCUGGAUUUUAGCAAAGUUAGGUGGCCUUAACUGUGCCUGGCUAGUAUGGGGGCAAAGGUUUUUAUUUUCAUGCUUUAGCAUGUCUGGUAAACCCAGAGGUUGAAAUUAAAAAUGUCAGGGUUAAGCUUCCUUCCUUCACUUCUAUUUUCCUCCCUCCCUUCCCAUUUC